UACGGAGGGUGCAAGCGUUAUCCGGAUUCACUGGGUUUAAAGGGUGCGUAGGUGGGUUGGUAAGUCAGUGGUGAAAUCCCCGAGCUUAACUUGGGAACUGCCAUUGAUACUAUCAGUCUUGAAUACCGUGGAGGUCAGCGGAAUAUGUCAUGUAGCGGUGAAAUGCUUAGAUAUGACAUAGAACACCAAUUGCGAAGGCAGCUGGCUACACGAGUAUUGACACUGAGGCACGAAAGCGUGGGGAGCAAACAGG
rnacentral:rRNA from 1 species